UACGAAGGGGGCGAACGUUGUUCGGAAUUACUGGGCGUAAAGGGCGCGCAGGCGGCUCGACAAGUCAGAUGUGAAAGCCCCGGGCUCAACCUGGGAACGGCAUUUGGGACUGUCGGGCUAGAGUUCGGGAGAGGUGGGUGGAAUUCCCAGUGUAGAGGUGAAAUUCGUAGAUAUCGAGAGGAACACCGGUGGCGAAGGCGGCGAUCUGGACGGUGACUGACGCUGAGACGCGAAAGCGUGGGGAGCAAACAGG
rnacentral:rRNA from 1 species